rnacentral:rRNA from 1 species
UACGUAGGUGGCAAGCGUUGUCCGGAUUCACUGGGCGUAAAGCGCGCGCAGGCGGUCUUCUACGUCUGGGGUGAAAACCCGGGGCUCAACCCCGGGACUGCCUUGGAUACGGGGAGACUUGAGGAUCGGAGAGGCAAGGGGAAUUCCACGUGUAGCGGUGAAAUGCGUAGAGAUGUGGAGGAACACCUGUGGCGAAGGCGCCUUGCUGGCCGAUUUCUGACGCUGAGGCGCGAAAGCGUGGGGAGCAAACGGG